AUUGAACGCUGGCGGCAGGCCUAACACAUGCAAGUCGAGCGGAUGACGGGAGCUUGCUCCUUGAUUCAGCGGCGGACGGGUGAGUAAUGCCUAGGAAUCUGCCUGGUAGUGGGGGACAACGUUUCGAAAGGAACGCUAAUACCGCAUACGUCCUACGGGAGAAAGCAGGGGACCUUCGGGCCUUGCGCUAUCAGAUGAGCCUAGGUCGGAUUAGCUAGUUGGUGGGGUAAUGGCUCACCAAGGCGACGAUCCGUAACUGGUCUGAGAGGAUGAUCAGUCACACUGGAACUGAGACACGGUCCAGACUCCUACGGGAGGCAGCAGUGGGGAAUAUUGGACAAUGGGCGAAAGCCUGAUCCAGCCAUGCCGCGUGUGCGAAGAAGGUCUUCGGAUUGUAAAGCACUUUAAGUUGGGAGGAAGGGCAGUAAGCUAAUACCUUGCUGUUUUGACGUUACCGACAGAAUAAGCACCGGCUAACUCUGUGCCAGCCGCCGCGGUAAAAC
rnacentral:rRNA from 1 species